rnacentral:lncRNA from 1 species
UCAGCUGUACAGCUGAGUUUCAUUUCCUUCACUGCUUUUUGUUCCCAUGAAUCAGCUUUUUCUUUUUGCUUGAACCAGUCUGGACUGGUCUCAGGCCUGGUUUGACCUGUUUCUCUAUAGUCUGAUGAUGAUGAGCGCUGCCGAAAUCUGAGAUCUGUCUGAAAGCUUUACUGUGAUCAGUGUUUUUACACCUUUAUCAGCAUCAAUCAGCGUCAUCAGAGAUACAUACGGCAAUGUUUUCAUAUUAUCUGUCUCUCUCUCUCUCUCUCUCUCUUUCUGUGUGUGUCUCUCUCUCUCCGCUUCCUCUGUUCUGUGGUGGUAUAAAUACUGAGAGUUGAGCAGAAGGUGUUCACUCCCCGUCUGGCUGUAGGUCUGAGUGUUUUGAUUAACUCAGUGCUGUGAAAUGCUGCAGUCGCUGGUUUCUCACUGGGGAGAGUGAAUAUAUUACAGGCUGAAUGAUGGAGGGUGUUUUAUGGAUAUUCCUGAUUCUGUGUCCCUUACUGGCUCAUUCCCAAAGUGGAGAUGGUGAUGCAGAGCCCAUUGUUGCUGUUUGCUCAUCCAUGAUCUCCUCUAAAACAAAUAACCUCACCUGUGAGAUGAACGAGGAAGAUAUCGACAGCAUCCAAUCCGUAAAACUUUGUUUUAUUGGAUGUACUAAUGGCACCUUGGAGAAUAACAGCUUAAGCUUUGUCAAUAUACCAUCUCCUAUUGGAGCGUAUGAACUGCAAAUGUACCUGAAAGGAGGGGGCGUAAACAGGCAAAAAAUUGAUUUGGUGAAAAUAGGUAGGUGGUGAAGAUCCUCAUUCCAGUUCAGUUAAAGGAGAACUCAAGUGCAAUAUGGUUAAAAUGACCUUUGUUGUAGUAAAACAUGAUAAAAAGUACCUAUCUUUGAUGAAUAGCACACCUCCAAUCUC